UACGGGGGGAGCAAACGUUGUUCGGAAUCACUGGGCGUAAAGGGCGUGUAGGCGGCUGAAUAAGUGGGAUGUUAAAUCCCCCGGCUCAACCGGGGAACCGCAUUUCAUACUGUUCAGCUUGGGUACAGCAGAGGAGACUGGAAUUCCCGGUGUAGCGGUGAAAUGCGUAGAUAUCUGGAGGAACAUCAGUGGCGAAGGCGGCUUCCUGGACCGACACUGACGCUGAGGCGACGAAAGCUAGGGGAGCAAAC
rnacentral:rRNA from 1 species